UUAACAGGAAGACACUACAUCUCUAGUAUAAGCUUUCUCAUGCUUCCACAAAUAUUAUUGGGUAUAAUUUUAGGGUUAGGGUUAAUGCUUUUUAACGAAGGAGAUGAAUACCCACUCUUGGAAAAUUGUUCAUUGAGACUCUUUGAGGUAUAUUUAUCAACUUACAUUUCAAUUAGUGCAUAUUUAGACAUGAUUAGUGGGUUAGAAAUUAAUUUUAGAAGUUAGAGUAUAUAUAUUAGAGGAUUUCAUGGUUAUCUAUCAUUACUAAAGUUCUAUAAUGAGUUUGUGAAUCUAAAGAAAAUAUAAUAUUAUUGAUACAAAGAUAUGACGCCGGAAGCUUCACAUGCUUCUCAGGAGUGGUGGGAGAGCAAACUUAGUUGAUUCGUCAUAUCAGUGAGUUGAUGAUGAUCAUUACAAUUUUUUUUUAAGUAUUUAUUAUGAAUGUUUUUGUGGGAAACACACCCUUGGAAUUUCUGCCAUCCUUUACUUAUUUUAAAGUAAUUGAUAUUAAUUAUUACUUUAGUUUGAAUUACUUAUGAUUGAUAUGUUAAUGGAUUUGAAAAUGAGGUUUGAUUGUGGUAUUUUUAUAUAAAUUUCAAUAUCUUGUGAAACGUGGAUUUUGAUAAAUAUGUUUUGAGAAUAAUGAUUUCAAUCAAGUAACCGAUAAUGAGGAUAACGGUCUAGGUGCACCUAGUUAUAUGAUAUCAAUGAGAAAAGGGCUAUCCGUUAAAUGGAGCCACCCCUAAGUGAAAGGCCGCUCUUAGGAGGAAAGGGCUAUCAACGAGAUGGAGCCGUCUCUUGAUUCUAUAGUAACAAAUUCUUUUUAUUUGAUUGGAUGAGGAUGCAUUUUCGUAAUAGAGGAGAAAAGGGUUAUCCGUUAGAUGGAGCCGCCCCUAAGUGAAAGGCCACUCUUAGGAGGAAAGGGCUAUCAACGAGAUGGAGCCGUCUCUCGAUUCUUUCGUAACGAAUUCUUUUAUUUGAUUGGAUUUCUAUAUUUUUCUUAUUUCAAUUUCAAACUUGAUGACCUUUUCGCAAGUGAACGAAAUGCCACGUAGUAAUAAAAAUGAGUUGUCGAUCCACAGGGAUUGUGCGACUAAACAAGUUCAAAAGUGUCUAUACACAUUAUGCAAAAAUAAAACAUAGAUUGGGGGUUUGUUUUAGUGAUUGAUUGGUAGAAAAUCGUGCUUAGAAAUAAGUGGAAAAGCGAGGUAGAAUCAUCGGAAUCGUCUAGUCUAUAGCUAAACCACAUGCAAUCUACAAUAUCAUAAGGAAUUACUCAGGUGUUCACAACUAGAUCGACAAAUUAGUGAAUCGCAAUCUCUUGUCAAAAUCCACUCUAUUCGUUGUCGAUGCUCCCCCUCUCGGGUGUUAAGCUAUCUACAACGAAUGAGAUUAAAGCGCGUCGAUCGUUCGCUACACUCUAUGUCUCAAUCUCUCGACCAGAGACACUCGAGUACUAAAUGCAAUUCAGUUCAGACAUUAAAUCAAUACUCUCGCACGUGACUUAACUCGAAAUCAUUAUAACACUAAUGAAGGAUUAUAAAGCAUUAAGAACAGAUUUGCAUUAGAUGAGCACUAUGAAAAGAGUACAUUCUUACAAUAUUGCAGAUUACAAGUCAUUCAUCUACAUCCUAAACUAUCCUAGAUCCUACCUCCAAAAGAAGCUUAGCUCCUCAUGUUGCUUCGUUCGCGUCCUAGCUUCAACUUCAUGGCUUGAGAAUCCAUGCUAUUGAGGUGCUUGGAGCUAUCCUAUGGAGUCUUUGAUCUGAAUCUUGAAGUUUCCAAAACCAGAAUAUAGAUGAAAGUUGCAGAAUUUCCCACCCCUUUGCAGAAAAACCAGAAUUCCUUAUAUAACAUCGCAACCACGCCGCGCGCCAGAUCUACCACGCUGCGCGUGGUUGCAAUUCUCCACUGCCACGCCGCGCGUGUAACCUCCUACGCCGCGCGUGGCUAAACCUGAAGCUUCAGCUCUUCAAUACUGGAUUAACGACGCCGCGCGUGAUGCAUCCCACGCCCCCAGCGUGGUUCAAAAGUCCUCAUCACGCCGCGCGUGGUCCUGCCUUCACGCCGCGCGUAGUGUAAAUGCUGAAAAACCCCUCUCUAGUGGGUGAAUUGCGCCGCGUGUGGCCUUGCCUCACGCCGGGCGUGGUUGAAGGGAAGAAACAGCUCUUCUCAGGUGCAUCAUCACGCUGCGCGUGAUCUGGCCACGCCCCCAGCGUGGUUCAUUUCAGCAAUUUCCUGCACAAAAUCCUGUUUUUCUUGCAACACAAGUAAUCAUGCAUAUGAAUUGAUUUCUCUGAAAUUUAUUGAUUAAAAACUGAUAAAAUGUAUCUAAUGUUGCUAAAAUAGGCACGGAUUAAAGAGUGUGACGAUCUGUCAUCAAAACUCUAUAAUGAUUUGAAUCGAAUAUUAUUUAUAUUACAUAGUUGCUACUUUACAAUAAUUGUUACAAGCUUUCUAAAAAUCAAAUGCUCGUGCCUUUGUGUGUUUCCCAUCUAGUUGGUAGUGGUUGUUAUCUCUCACUAAGUCCUUGUGACUUACUCCUUCAUCUUAUAUUUUUUUGAGAUUCAAAGUCAACUGAAUAGAAAGCUUCUAGCAGAGUUAAAGAUCUGUCAAUGUCACUCUUUUGGUAGGCCUUCUUGAUGAAAAACUAUUUUUUAUAUAUAUAUUUGGAG
rnacentral:lncRNA from 1 species